UACUGAGACACGGACCAGACUCCUACGGGAGGCAGCAGUGAGGAAUAUUGGUCAAUGGGCGCGAGCCUGAACCAGCCAAGUCGCGUGAGGGAUGACGGUCCUACGGAUUGUAAACCUCUUUUGCCGGGGAGCAAGCGUGCGUUCGUGAACGCGCGUCGAGAGUACCCGGAGAAAAAGCAUCGGCUAACUCCGUGCCAGCAGCCGCGGUAAUACGGAGGAUGCGAGCGUUAUCCGGAUUUAUUGGGUUUAAAGGGUGCGUAGGCGGGAUGCCAAGUCAGCGGUAAAAAUGCGGUGCUCAACGCCGUCGAGCCGUUGAAACUGGCGUUCUUGAGUGGGCGAGAAGUAUGCGGAAUGCGUGGUGUAGCGGUGAAAUGCAUAGAUAUCACGCAGAACUCCGAUUGCGAAGGCAGCAUACCGGCGCCCUACUGACGCUGAGGCACGAAAGCGUGGGUAUCGAACAGGAUUAGAUACCCUGGUAGUCCACGCAGUAAACGAUGAAUGCUAACUGUCCGGCUCGAAUGAGCGCUGG
rnacentral:rRNA from 1 species